UACGUAGGGUGCAAGCGUUAUCCGGAAUUAUUGGGCGUAAAGAGCUCAUAGGCGGUUUGUCGCGUCUGCUGUGAAAACUGGAGGCUCAACCUCCAGCCUGCAGUGGGUACGGGCAGACUAGAGUGCGGUAGGGGAGAUUGGAAUUCCUGGUGUAGCGGUGGAAUGCGUAGAUAUCGAGAGGAACACCUGCGGCGAAGGCGGGUUGCUGGGCUGACACUGACGCUGAUGCGCGAAAGCUAGGGGAGCGAACGGG
rnacentral:rRNA from 1 species